rnacentral:rRNA from 1 species
ACAAGCGGUGGAUGAUGUGGAUUAAUUCGAUGCAACGCGAAAACCUUACCUACCCUUGACAUGUCUGGAACCUUGGUGAGAGCCGAGGGUGCCUUCGGGAGCCAGAACACAGGUGCUGCAUGGCUGUCGUCAGCUCGUGUCGUGAGAUGUUGGGUUAAGUCCCGCAACGAGCGCAACCCUUGUCACUAGUUGCCAUCAUUUGGUUGGGCACUCUAGUGAGACUGCCGGUGACAAACCGGAGGAAGGUGGGGAUGACGUCAAGUCCUCAUGGCCCUUAUGGGUAGGGCUUCACACGUCAUACAAUGGUCUGUACAAAGGGCAGCAAAGGGGCGACCCGGAGCAAAUCCCAAAAACAGGUCUCAGUUCGGAUUGCAGGCUGCAACUCGCCUGCAUGAAGGCGGAAUCGCUAGUAAUCGCAGGUCAGCAUACUGCGGUGAAUACGUUCCCGGGCCUU